GGGGGACUGCCUGGUAUGACGUCUGCUUGACGUGCAGAAGGUCGCGCGUUCAAAUCGCGCCGGGCCCA
rnacentral:tRNA from 1 species